rnacentral:rRNA from 1 species
GACGAACCGUCCAAGCGUUGUUCGGAAUCACUGGGCUUAAAGGGCGCGUAGGCGGGUCAUCAAGUCGGGGGUGAAAUCUUUCAGCUCAACUGGAAAAGCGCUUCCGAUACUGGUGGUCUCGAGGGAGGUAGGGGUCGAUGGAACUUCCGGUGGAGCGGUGAAAUGCGUAGAUAUCGGAAGGAACGCCGGUGGCGAAAGCGAUCGACUGGACCUUUUCUGACGCUGAGGCGCGAAAGCCAGGGGAGCAAACGGG